rnacentral:rRNA from 1 species
AACGAACGCUGGCGGCAUGCCUAAUACAUGCAAGUCGAACGAGACCUUUGGGUCUAGUGGCGCACGGGUGCGUAACGCGUGGGAACCUUCCCUUAGGUUCGGAAUAACUCCCCGAAAGGGGUGCUAAUACCGGAUAAUGUCUUCGGACCAAAGAUUUAUCGCCUGUGGAUGGUCCCGCGUUGGAUUAGCUAGUUGGUAGGGUAAAAGCCUACCAAGGCGACGAUCCAUAGCUGGUCUGAGAGAAUGAUCAGCCACACUGGGACUGAGACACGGCCCAGACUCCUACGGGAAGCAGCAGUGGGGAAUAUUGGACAAUGGGCGAAAGCCUGAACCAGCAAUGCCGCGUGAGUGAUGAAGGCCUUAGGGUUGUAAAGCUCUUUUACCCGGGAUGAUAAUGACAGUACCGAGAGAAUAAGCUCCGGCUAACUCCGUG